rnacentral:rRNA from 1 species
GAUGAACGCUGGCGGCGUGCCUAAUACAUGCAAGUCGAGCGAACGGACGAGAAGCUUGCUUUUCUGAUGUUAGCGGCGGACGGGUGAGUAACACGUGGAUAACCUACCUAUAAGACUGGGAUAACUUCGGGAAACCGGAGCUAAUACCGGAUAAUAUUUUGAACCGCAUGGUUCAAAAGUGAAAGACGGUCUUGCUGUCACUUAUAGAUGGAUCCGCGCUGCAUUAGCUAGUUGGUAAGGUAACGGCGUACCAAGGCAACGAUGCAUAGCCGACCUGAGAGGGUGAUCGGCCACACUGGAACUGAGACACGGUCCAGACUCCUACGGGAGGCAGCAGUAGGGAAUCUUCCGCAAUGGGCGAAAGCCUGACGGAGCAACGCCGCGUGAGUGAUGAAGGUCUUCGGAUCGUAAAACUCUGUUAUUAGGGAAGAACAUAUGUGUAAGUAACUGUGCACAUCUUGACGGUACCUAAUCAGAAAGCCACGGCUAACUACGUG